rnacentral:other from 1 species
AGUACCCUGCUUUGCGCGUGAUAGGCCUUUUUAAACCCACAUAAGUUAUAAGGGAUUCCGGCACUCUUGCGGUGAAUUGCAGGCCUCCCGAGGCUGCCGCCGUGCAGCUUUGGACGUUGGAAGCAGAGAAGCCGCAAGGAGGAAACCCACCUGCCGAGAGGCGGGUUAUAACUAGGCCUACACGGCACGGCGGGGUAUGU